rnacentral:rRNA from 1 species
CAAUAGCGUAUAUUUAAGUUGUUGCAGUUAAAAAGCUCGUAGUUGGAUUUCGGGUGGGACGCAGCGGUCUCGCAUUGCGUUUGUACUGCUGCAGCCCUCCUUCUUGCCGGGGGCGGCCUCUCGGACUUCACUGUCUGGGGGUCAGAAUCGGCGAUGUUACUUUGAGUAAAUUAGAGUGUUCAAAGCAAGCUUACGCUCUGAAUAUAAUAGCAUGGGAUAACACGACAGGACUCUGGCCUAUCGUGUUGGUCUAUAGGACCAGAGUAAUGAUUAAGAGGGACAGUCGGGGGCAUUCGUAUUGCGUUGUCAGAGGUGAAAUUCUUGGAUUUACGGAAGACGAACAUCUGCGAAAGCAUUUGCCAAGGAUGUUUUCAUUGA